GCUGUCCAGACCGGUGGCUCCACUGAAACUGACUGAGGCUGUGCCAAACGAAAAAACAGUAUUCUCACCCUGGUCCCGCGUAUAUCGAUAGGGGCUCACUCCGGGUAGCUAUCGGAAAAGAAGGUCGUGAGUUCCUACAACCCAUCCCCAAUACACGCAACAAUAAACAAUCAGGAAUGAUGUCGUCGCCGCCGCUCCAUGUGGACCGGACCUCCUCUUUCGGAUUAUCGAGGUCGAACGGGCCCUCCUUUUCCUUCGUGGCAUGUCGAUGAGGUAUCCGCUGUCAAAACCACACCAAGGAUCAUGAACAACAUGGGACUUAGGAAUAAUGAAAUACAAGAAAAAUAAAGGAAUGCGCACAUGGGCAACAAAAAUGAUAACAUAAAUAUUUAACGCUAAACAAAAUAAUAAAUAAGGAAUUAAAUAGGUAGAUAAAUAUAUAAGGGAAUGAAUAAAUAUAUGAGGGAAUGAAUAAAUAAAUAAUUA